GUACGGGAGGCAGCAGUGGGGAAUUUUGGACAAUGGGGGCAACCCUGAUCCAGCAAUGCCGCGUGAGUGAAGAAGGCCUUCGGGUUGUAAAGCUCUUUUGUCAGGGAAGAAACGGUGAGGUCUAAUACACUUUACUAAUGACGGUACCUGAAGAAUAAGCACCGGCUAACUACGUGCCAGCAGCCGCGGUAAUACGUAGGGUGCAAGCGUUAAUCGGAAUUACUGGGCGUAAAGCGUGCGCAGGCGGUUAUAUAAGUCAGAUGUGAAAUCCCCGGGCUCAACCUGGGAACUGCAUUUGAGACUGUAUGGCUAGAGUGUGUCAGAGGGGGGUAGAAUUCCACGUGUAGCAGUGAAAUGCGUAGAUAUGUGGAGGAAUACCGAUGGCGAAGGCAGCCCCCUGGGAUAACACUGACGCUCAUGCACGAAAGCGUGGGGAGCAAACAGGAUUAGAUACCCCUGUAGUCC
rnacentral:rRNA from 1 species